CACAAUAUCUUUUUUUGGCAUUUCUCUUCAUCGUAUUUCAACACUUCAAUCAUUUAAUUUUUAGAUAUCAUAGUGCGCACAAAAAGGAACAUGUCGCUUUCACAGUGAAUUUGGCAAUAAGAAUCUUAACAAGCAAAUGCGACAUUAUGAGAUUACAGACCGCUAGAAGACAAGUGAAGGUCUGGAGAUAGUGAGUGCGUGGUCGUUGGCAAAAAGUAGGCAGUUAAGAUGAGCUAACGAGGUUGACCAAUUUCUGACUUGACGCUGACGGAUCAGGAUUUUAACCAGUGAGAACGUUUUGAAAGGAUUAAAGAACGAUCCACAAAGAACUUGUGGGCGUUCGUAUAAUAGGAAAUGCAUUUUCUAUCGAGAAGAUUUGGCGAAGUAUUCUUUAGGAAUCUCGUAAGUAUUUCACGACUUAUU